rnacentral:rRNA from 1 species
UACGUAGGGGGCUAGCGUUGUCCGGAAUCAUUGGGCGUAAAGAGCGUGUAGGCGGCCCGGUAAGUCCGCUGUAAAAGUCAAAGGCUCAACCUUUGAAUGUCAGUGGAUACUGCCGGGCUAGAGUCCGGAAGAGGCGAGUGGAACUCCUGGUGUAGCGGUGGAAUGCGCAGAUAUCAGGAAGAACACCAACGGCGAAGGCAGCUCGCUGGACGGUACUGACGCUGAGACGCGAAGCGUGGGAGCGAACAGG